rnacentral:rRNA from 1 species
GAUGAACGCUGGCGGCGUGCUCUACACAUGCAAGUCGAACGGUGAAGCAGGAGCUUGCUCUUGUGGAUCAGUGGCGAACGGGUGAGUAACACGUUAACAACCUGCCCCUGACUCUGGGAUAAGCGCUGGAAACGGCGUCUAAUACUGGAUAUGUGAUGUGACCGCAUGGUCUGCAUCUGGAAAGAAUUUCGGUUGGGGGUGGGCGCGCGGCCUAUCAGCUUGUUGGUGGGGUAAUGGCUCACCAAGGCGUCGACGGGUAGCCGGCCUGAGAGGGUGACCGGCCACACUGGGACUGAGACACGGCCCAGACUCCUACGGGAGGCAGCAGUGGGGAAUAUUGCACAAUGGGCGGAAGCCUGAUGCAGCAACGCCGCGUGAGGGAUGACGGCCUUCGGGUUGUAAACCUCUUUUAGCAGGGAAGAAGCGAAAGUGACGGUACCUGCAGAAAAAGCACCGGCUAACUACGUGCCAGCCGCCGCAGUAA